GGUCAAGCUACAAAGGGCUCACGGCGGAUACCUUGGCACACAGAGGCGAUGAAGGACGUGGUUACCUGCGAUAAGUCUCGGGGAGCUGGAAACACGCUUUGAUCCGGGAAUUUCCGAAUGGGGCAACCCCUAGUACGGCCAGCUGAAUCCAUAGGCUGGCGCGAGCUAACCCAGCGAACUG
rnacentral:rRNA from 1 species